rnacentral:rRNA from 1 species
UUGUUCUUUAAAUGGGGANUUGUAUCAACGGCACCACGAGGGUUAGACUGUCUCCUUUUUCAAAUCAGUGAAAUUAAUCUCCCCGUGAAGAAGCGGGGAUACUCAUAUAAGACGAGAAGACCCCAUGGAGCUUCAAACCCAACUACACCCCUAGCUCUUAUAGCCCCACAACCCCCCCCCCCCC